UCCAGCUUGCUGGGGUGAUUAGUGGCGAACGGGUGAGUAACACGUGAGUAACCUGCCCUUGACUCUGGGAUAAGCCUGGGAAACUGGGUCUAAUACCGGAUAUGACCUUCCAUCGCAUGGUGGUUGGUGGAAAGCUUUUGUGGUUUUGGAUGGACUCGCGGCCUAUCAGCUUGUUGGUGGGGUAAUGGCCUACCAAGGCGACGACGGGUAGCCGGCCUGAGAGGGUGACCGGCCACACUGGGACUGAGACACGGCCCAGACUCCUACGGGAGGCAGCAGUGGGGAAUAUUGCACAAUGGGCGCAAGCCUGAUGCAGCGACGCCGCGUGAGGGAUGACGGCCUUCGGGUUGUAAACCUCUUUCAGUAGGGAAGAAGCGUAAGUGACGGUACCUGCAGAAGAAGCGCCGGCUAACUACGUGCCAGCAGCCGCGGUAAUACGUAGGGCGCAAGCGUUAUCCGGAAUUAUUGGGCGUAAAGAGCUCGUAGGCGGUUUGUCGCGUCUGCCGUGAAAGUCCGGGGCUCAACUCCGGAUCUGCGGUGGGUACGGGCAGACUAGAGUGAUGUAGGGGAGACUGGAAUUCCUGGUGUAGCGGUGAAAUGCGCAGAUAUCAGGAGGAACACCGAUGGCGAAGGCAGGUCUCUGGGCAUUAACUGACGCUGAGGAGCGAAAGCAUGGGGAGCGAACAGGAUUAGAUACCCUGGUAGUCCAUGCCGUAAACGUUGGGCACUAGGUGUGGGGGACAUUCCACGUUUUCCGCGCCGUAGCUACGCAUUAAGUGCCCCGCCUGGGGAGUACGGCCGCAAGGCUAAACUCAAGGAAUUGACGGGGGCCCGCACAAGCGGCGGAGCAUGCGGAUUAAUUCGAUGCAACGCGAAGAACCCUUACCAAGGCUUGACAUGGACCGGAUCGCUGCAGAAAUGUGGUUUCUCCUUUUGGGGCUGGGUUU
rnacentral:rRNA from 1 species